GACGAACGCUGGCGGCGUGCUUAACACAUGCAAGUCGAACGGAAAGGCCCUGCUUUUUUGGUGUUCUCGAUUGCCGAUCGGGUGAGUAACACGUGAGUAACCUGCCCUUGACUUUGGGAUAACUUCAGGAAACUGGGCCUAAUACCGUAUAGGAUCUCCUCCUUCAUUGUGGGGGUUGGAAAGUUUCGCCGGUUGGGGUUGGACUCGCGGCUUAUCAGCUUGUUGGUGGGGUAGUGGCUUACCAAGGCUUUGACGGGUCGCCGGCCUGAGAAGGUGAACGGGCACAAUGGGACUGAGAUACGGACCAGAGUGCUACGGGAGGCAGCAGUGGGGAAUAUUGCACAAUGGGAGGAAGCCUGAUGAAGAAACGCCGCGUGCGGGAUGACGGCCUUCGGGGUGUAAAAAGCUUUCGGCUGUGACGAAGCGUGAGUGACGGUAAUGGGUAAAGAAGCACCGGCUAACUACGUG
rnacentral:rRNA from 1 species